rnacentral:rRNA from 1 species
AUGAAAGGAGGCAAGGCGAUGGGCCCUGAUUGUAUCCCCAUUGAGGUGUGGAAAGGUCUCGGGGACAUAGCGAUAGUAUGGCUAACCAAGCUUUUCAACCUCAUUUUUCAGGCAAACAAGAUGCCAGAAGAAUGGAGACGGAGUAUAUUAGUACCAAUCUUCAAGAACAAGGGGGAUGUUCAGAGUUGUACUAAUUACCGUGGAAUUAAGCUGAUGAGCCAUACAAUGAAGCUAUGGGAGAGAGUCAUUGAGCACCGCUUAAGAAGAAUGACAAGCGUGACCAAAAAUCAGUUUGGUUUCAUGCCUGGGAGGUCGACCAUGGAAGCCAUUUCUUGGUACGACAACUUAUGGAGAGAUAUAGGGAGCAUAAGAAGGACUUGCAUAUGGUGUUCAUUGACUUGGAGAAGGCCUAUGAUAAGAUACCGCGGAAUGUCAUGUGGUGGGCCUUGGAGAAACACAAAGUCCCAGCAAAGUACAUUACCCUCAUCAAGGACAUGUACAAUAAUGUUGUGA